GAUGAACGCUGGCGGCGUGCCUAAUACAUGCAAGUCGAGCGAACAGACGAGGAGCUUGCUCCUCUGACGUUAGCGGCGGACGGGUGAGUAACACGUGGAUAACCUACCUAUAAGACUGGGAUAACUUCGGGAAACCGGAGCUAAUACCGGAUAAUAUAUUGAACCGCAUGGUUCAAUAGUGAAAGACGGUUUUGCUGUCACUUAUAGAUGGAUCCGCGCCGCAUUAGCUAGUUGGUAAGGUAACGGCUUAUCAAGGCAACGAUGCGUAGCCGACCUGAGAGGGUGAUCGGCCACACUGGAACUGAGACACGGACCAGACGCCUACGGGAGGCAGCAGUAGGGAAUCUUCCGCAAUGGGCGAAAGCUUGACGGAACAACGCCGCGUGAGUGAUGAAGGUCUUCGGAUCGUAAAACUCUGUUAUUAGGGAAGAACAAAUGUGUAAGUUACUAUGCACGUCUUGACGGUACCUAAUCAGAAAGCCACGGCUAACUACGUG
rnacentral:rRNA from 1 species